rnacentral:rRNA from 1 species
UCUAAUUGUUAUUACCAUGAUGAAAACACCUGCUCUCAUCCGAUCACCAAAGUUAAGUAACGCUGAGCCUAGUUAGUACUUAGAUGAGUAACCACUUGGGAAACCUAGGUGCUGUAAAUA